GUGCCAGCCGCCGCGGUAAUACGGAGGAUGCAAGCGUUAUCCGGAUUUAUUGGGUUUAAAGGGUGCGUAGGCGGGACUGUAAGUCAGGGGUGAAAUACUGCAGCUUAACUGUAGCAUUGCCUUUGAAACUGCCGUUCUUGAGUACAGUUGAGGUAGGCGGAAUGUGGUGUGUAGCGGUGAAAUGCAUAGAUAUACCACAGAACGCCGAUUGCGAAGGCAGCUUACUAAGCUGUUACUGACGCUGAGGCACGAAAGCGUGGGGAUCAAACAGGAUUAGAUACCCUGGUAGUCCACGCUGUAAACGAUGAUUACUGGUUGUUAGCGAUAUAUAGCUAGUGACUGAGCGAAAGCAUUAAGUAAUCCACCUGGGGAGUACGUCGGCAACGAUGAAACUCAAAUAAAUUGACGG
rnacentral:rRNA from 1 species